rnacentral:lncRNA from 1 species
UCUAAUUAGGUUUUUAUUUACAGAAUCCUCCCAACCCUUUUCCUAACUUCAGCCGCCAAUGUGAAGAAAAUCCUCCCACCCACCGUAUUCGAUCUUAUUUUUUUCAACUAUCAACGCAUUCUCCCACCGUAUUCGAUCCUCAACCAUCAACACCAGAAGAAUCCUAAAUGACGCCGCCCCUAUUUGUCUUCUAUCUUGAAGAUUCGGAUUGAUAAAAACAAAAAUUGAAGAUUCAGAUUGUAUUUUUUCGUGAUGAUGAUGAAUCGAAGAUCUGGACUAAACCCUAAUUUUAAGAUUUGGAUUGUAUUUGUUCAUGACGGUGAUGAACUAAGGUUGAUUUCAGACUAUUUGAUUGAGCCCUUUUUCUCUCCUCAUUGACUUUCGGUUUUUCAAGGAUGGUAACAUAUCUCCUCGCCGUUGUACAAUUUUUUUUUUGUAGCUAAUGACCCCAUGUUUGUGAUCUAAGCUUACAACUCCUUUAAAUAGACCGAGACCGUGGUCCAUACCCGGCUUAUUCGUUCUCAAAGAGCUUCAAGGGAGUUUUGGGUUUAUACUCUAUGAUGUCAAGUCUAAAACUGUGUUCGUAUCACUUGGUGCAGAUGGGGAAGUGAAGCUCUAUUGGGGCAUAGCAGAUCAUGGCUCUAUGGUAAUUUAUGAUAAAUUGGUGGCCAUUAAGUCUAUUAGAGGCAAAAGACCAAGGCUAAGGAUGAGAUUCGACUUUUUGUUUUUUUUUCUUCUAAAGCGAUGAUUGCUAACCAGAGCAGUAUCUUAAUUCUACAAGAGACGCGUAUCGAUUUAGCGUGGUCCUUGGUGGUGUAUGAGCUGGUGGAUAACCUAGCAAGGCAUGUGGUGAUGAAUGGGGGUGAUUCGGCUUAUGUGGAUCUUUUGUCGUCGGGGUUUGAGAUAAUCCUUGACGGGCCGGUAAUCGUGUUGUGUCGAAUACAGAGAAUGGUGGGGUGGGUGGUGGCGCGGCGGGAAUGUGUCUACUGAGAAUUUUGAUUGCAAGCUUGACCUUAAGGUGAUUGCCCUGCAAGCUCGCAAUGUAGAAUAUAGCCCCAAGGGUUUGCUUGUGCCCUUUCGUAUCCACUGAAACCCUAACCGACCGGAAAAAUCGCCAAAAAUUCAUCACAAUAUGGUAUGUGAUUGGUCAACAACUAUGGAUUUCGUUAUUGCUUCUUUUUGUUACGAGAUCGACGUUGUUGGUUUCACCUAAGGGGUGAUGAUGCUAACCUUUGGUUUCAAUUGUCUGUGAUGGUUGUGCGGCUUAUUUUCGCAAGGCAACCGACAUUUCCUGUGAUAAUCAUGUUUAGGAUUGGAUUAUUGAAAUGACAACAAAUAUUGCUAAUAUGCAUCUUGCUGUUGCAAAAGCCUCUGCCUUUUCUUCUCAUGAAGUGUCAAAGUCAAGCAUUGCAGAUUUCAGUAGUGGUGCGAAAGGUGCGAAAGGUGCAUCAUGUGCAAAGCUUAAAAGAUUGUGGGGUCGUAAUUUUUUUUCUAUAACAUUAGAUAGAUUUCAGAACUGGCUUAAUCCAUAAAAAAUCAAGUUGCAAAAUUCAUUUUUUAACUUAAUCCAUUCAUGCGUCUCCCCCAAUUAUCCAUUUUUUUUUCUCAAUUUUGUUUCCUCCAAAAAAGGAGUGGAUUGCGAACAGAAAUUGUUAUAUAUUGCACCUCCGCCUCACCGAUUUUGCCUCUCCUUCAACAGCCGAACCCACCCUAAUUUGCUGUCAGUAGUUUCUAUUUGUCAUAACUGUAAUUUGUAAAUGAAUAAUAGAAGUUAGUUAGUUCGAAAGUUGGGAAGAAUCACAUGAUAUAUUUUGGAAAUGAAAUUUAAGUGUUCGGUUUCAGUUUGGCGGAAUCACAUUAUAUAUUUUUGAAAUGAAAUUGAAAUGUUCGGUUUGAGUUGGGCAUGUUGAAAUUUGCGCCUAUAAAUCAAGUUUCUGCUUCGGAGGUUAAGACACAUGUUUCUAAGGUACGUUUGUGUUAUUCUUCAUUCAUGUGGCCUUUUAUCUUUUAUAAUAAAUGCUAGCCCAUCUGUUGUUGUUUUUAUUGGCAAUCUAAUGGAAAUGCUGGCAAUCUUAUUGAUUUUGUACUCAAGUUUUGCAUUAGAAAAGAUUGAUACGCAAGAGGGUAUGUCUGUUUUCAUUGUACCGAGGAACCAAAGGUGAUCGAUCAUUGAUGGUGUGAACCGAUUGAUGCAGGGGAGGUACUCAAAGAAUGGCAGAAUGGAGUUUUGGCAAGGAUCCUUGCAGAGAGAAUCCAAAAUUCGACAAAGUCUAUGUGGAGUGCCAUUGCCCUUUUAAAAAUAAUAUCACGUGUCAUAUUAUCAAAAUCGGAGCAAGAUCCGUCUUCUAUGGGCACGAUUCAGAUGUGUAUGCAUCUCCGUUAUAUGGAUGGUGGUGCCACCAAAUAUAAUAAAAAGCAGGAGUCGAUGGUGCUGCCCGAUAAGGUCACAGUUGUUUGCACAGGGGUGGAAGGCAUACUAUCCGAGCCUGCAUUUGGUUGUGUGCAAGUGCGGAUCUUGCGGGACACAAAAUGUGGCACUUAGUGAAUGGGAGAGACAUACAGGGUCAAAAGUUAAAAAUUGGAAAACUAGCAUCAAAGUGAAGGGUUCGUUGUUGCCACUAGAACAAUGGAGGCUACAGGUCGCUGAGUAUCAUGCUCGUGCUGUUGUUUCAGUGAAAUCUAAAAAACGCCCUUCGUUAAAAGCACGAAAGCAGAAAUUGCUUAGUUUUCUUCAAGAAAAAUACGAACCGAUAUGUGCGAAGUGCACAACAUAACGUUGUGUUGUAUGCCGUUGGAUUGAAGAUUGGGACUACAACAAAAUAAUCAUAUGCAUCAGGUGUCAAAUAGCGGUUCACCAAGAAUGUUAUGGGGCAAGAAAUGUUCAAGAUUUUACUUCAUGGGUUUGCCGGUCCUAUGAGACACCGGAUAUUGAGCGAGAAUGUUGUCUCUGCCCUGUAAAAGGAGGUGCUCUGAAGCCUACUGAUAUGGAGCCGUUAUGGAUUCAUGUAACCUAUGCUUGGUUUAGACCAGAAGUUUGCUUUGCGAGUGAUGAGAAAAGGAGCCUGGACUCCGAAUUUUAAGGAUCCCCAACUCAUUUGUAAAGGUACAUUGUUUUUAAUAUUAUUGUACAUAGCAAAAAAGCAUAAUUAACCCCCACAUUUACAAUAAAGUCGUGGCAUUUGACUAGAUAUAUAUUAUUGAGAAAUUGUUUCUUUGUUACAUGGGUAAGGUCCCAAAAACCUUAUAUCAAGUACCUGGGAUCAUACCAAACCUCAUCUUUGAACCCUCUUUAGGCCUUGCACGGCCGCACACUGGUCUCACGAAAGAAUUAAGGAGAAAGACAGCAGAUAACGCCCGCGCGCCAAUAGGGAGUAAACGAAUCCUUGCGCCAUUUCUCUACAGCAAAAGGAUAAAAAUCCUAGCAAAUACUUCCGCCUAAAUAAUACCCAGACUUGGAUAUUAUUUACUAAGUUGAUACCACACAGUAAAAAGUCACACUGGAUUAUGGCAAUAAUCUUCUAGAAGACUCAAUCAUGCACCACCAGACGUUUAUAACCGUCUGGACACGUAUCAUCACUCCAAGCCAUCCUGAAAUCACGAUGAUGGCAUAUAAUCGGAGAGAAACCUCCACUUACCCACUUUCCACGUGGCAAUUCCCCAGCCUUUGAUUAAGAUCGUGAUCCGUGUGCUUCCACAAUCCGAUCAAAAGGAAAAGUAACCGCUUACGGAGUUAGCAUCUUCCGUUACUAUUUCAGCAACGAGUUUUCCCGCCCAAACUCUCGGCUAUAAAUAUGAGAGUAAUUCAGUUUUCACCGGAGAAGAAGAUCUGUCCCUUCGAAUCAAGCGAGAGAGAACCAACCCUUUCAUGCAGAACCUAACCCUCUAGAUAAUUUGAUUCUGGUCAUUUAUCUAGUGUUUCUUCAGUGGAUCGGGUAUGGACCUUCCAAGCAAAGCAAAAAGUGGU